GACGUAGGGGGCCAGCGUUGUUCGGAAUUAUUGGGCGUAAAGAGCUCGUAGGCGGUCUGUCGCGUCUGCUGUGAAAACUCAGGGCUUAACCCUGAGCUUGCAGUGGGUACGGGCAGACUAGAGUGCGGUAGGGGAGACUGGAAUUCCUGGUGUAGCGGUGAAAUGCGCAGAUAUCAGGAGGAACACCGGUGGCGAAGGCGGGUCUCUGGGCCGUAACUGACGCUGAGGAGCGAAAGCAUGGGGAGCGAACAGG
rnacentral:rRNA from 1 species